AUCAUGGCUCAGGAUGAACGCUAGCUACAGGCUUAACACAUGCAAGUCGAGGGGAAACGAUAUUGGAAGCUUGCUUCCGAUAGGCGUCGACCGGCGCACGGGUGAGUAACGCGUAUCCAACCUGCCCAUCACUUGGGGAUAACCUUGCGAAAGUAAGACUAAUACCCAAUGACGUCUCUAGAAGACAUCUGAAAGAGAUUAAAGAUUUAUCGGUGAUGGAUGGGGAUGCGUCUGAUUAGCUUGUUGGCGGGGUAACGGCCCACCAAGGCGACGAUCAGUAGGGGUUCUGAGAGGAAGGUCCCCCACAUUGGAACUGAGACACGGUCCAAACUCCUACGGGAGGCAGCAGUGAGGAAUAUUGGUCAAUGGACGAGAGUCUGAACCAGCCAAGUAGCGUGCAGGAAGACGGCCCUAUGGGUUGUAAACUGCUUUUAUAAGGGAAUAAAGUGAGUCUCGUGAGACUUUUUGCAUGUACCUUAUGAAUAAGGACCGGCUAAUUCCGUG
rnacentral:rRNA from 1 species